UACGAAGGGGGCUAGCGUUGCUCGGAAUGACUGGGCGUAAAGGGCGCGUAGGCGGAUGGCACAGUCAGAUGUGAAAUUCCCGGGCUUAACCUGGGGGCUGCAUUUGAUACGUGUGAUCUGGAGUGAGGAAGAGGGUCGUGGAAUUCCCAGUGUAGAGGUGAAAUUCGUAGAUAUUGGGAAGAACACCGGUGGCGAAGGCGGCGACCUGGUCCUUGACUGACGCUGAGGCGCGAAAGCCAGGGGAGCAAAACGGGG
rnacentral:rRNA from 1 species